rnacentral:rRNA from 1 species
UAAGGAAUAUUGGUCAAUGGAGGCAACUCUGAACCAGCCAUGCCGCGUGCAGGAAGACGGCCCUAUGGGUUGUAAACUGCUUUUAUUCGGGAAUAAACCUCUGCUCGUGAGCAGAGUUGAAUGUACCGAAAGAAUAAGGAUCGGCUAACUCCGUGCCAGCAGCCGCGGUAAUACGGAGGAUCCAAGCGUUAUCCGGAUUUAUUGGGUUUAAAGGGUGCGUAGGCGGCUUAUUAAGUCAGGGGUGAAAGACGGUGGCUCAACCAUCGCAGUGCCUUUGAUACUGAUGAGCUUGAAUACACUUGAGGUAGGCGGAAUGUGACAAGUAGCGGUGAAAUGCAUAGAUAUGUCACAGAACACCAAUUGCGAAGGCAGCUUACUAAGGUGCAAUUGACGCUGAGGCACGAAAGCGUGGGGAUCAAACAGG